GACGAACCGUGCUAACGUUGUUCGGAAUCACUGGGCUUAAAGGGCGCGUAGGCGGGACAGCAAGUCAGGGGUGAAAGCCCGCAGCUCAACUGCGGAAGUGCCUUUGAUACUGCUGUUCUCGAGGGAGGCAGGGGAGUGCGGAACUUCCGGUGGAGCGGUGAAAUGCGUAGAUAUCGGAAGGAACACCGGUGGCGAAAGCGGCGCUCUGGACCUCUUCUGACGCUGAGGCGCGAAAGCUAGGGGAGCAAACGGG
rnacentral:rRNA from 1 species